rnacentral:rRNA from 1 species
UUAAUCCUACGGGGGGCAGCAGUGGGGAAUAUUGCACAAUGGGGGGAACCCUGACGCAGUGACGCCGCGUAUAGGAAGAAGGUUUUCGGAUUGUAAACUAUUGUCGUGAGGGAAGAAAUUGACAGUACCUCAGGAGGAAGCUCCGGCUAACUAUGUGCCAGCAGCCGCGGUAAUACAUAGGGAGCAAGCGUUAUCCGGAUUUAUUGGGUGUAAAGGGUGCGUAGACGGGAAAUUAAGUUAGUUGUGAAAUCCCUCGGCUUAACUGAGGAACUGCAACUAAAACUGAUUUUCUUGAGUACUGGAGG